rnacentral:lncRNA from 1 species
GGGUCGCCAUCUUGGAUGGGAGUGGGAGUGACAGGGAAAGGUUUUAAACCAUAAAAGGGCCGUGCUCUGCAGUGAGUGACACCUGUGUGUCACUGUCAGUGUCACCUGUGUGUCACCUGUGUCACCUGUGUGUCACCUGUGUGUCACUGUCACCUGUGUGUCACCUGUGUGUCAUUGUCACCUGUGUGUCAUUGUCAUUGUCAGUGUCACCUGUGUGUCACCUGUGUCACCUGUGUGUCACCUGUGUGUCAUUGUCACUGUCACCUGUGUGUCACCUGUGUGUCAUUGUCUCCUGUGUGUCACUGACACCUGUGUGUCACCUGUGUCACCAGUGUGUCAUUGUCAGCUGUGUGUCAUUGUCAGUGUCACCUGUGUGUCACCUGUGUGUCAUUGUCAGUGUCACCUGUGUGUCAUUGUCUCCUGUGUGUCACUGUCACCUGUGUGUCACCUGUGUCACCUGUGUGUCACUGUCACCUGUGUCACCUGUGUCACCUGUGUCACCGUCACCUGUGUCACCCGUGUGUCACCUGUGUCACCUGUGUGUCAUUUUCAUUGUUAUGGUCACCUGUGUGUCACCUGUGUGUCAUUGUCACCUGUGUCCCCUGUGUCAUUGUCACUGUGUCACCUGUGUCACCUGUGUGUCACUGUCCCCUGUGUGUCAUUGUCACUGUGUCACCGGUGUCCCUUGUGUGUCCCCUCAGGUGGGCAGUGCAAGUGCCACAGUGAGGCCAGGUGGGACCUGGGGACAUCUGGGGACAUCUGGGGAUAUCUGGGGACAUUUGGGGACAU